GAACGCUGGCGGCGUGCCUAACACAUGCAAGUCGAGCGGUAUAUACUUAAGCAAANCUUCGGAAGAGCGAGNGUAUAGNGNGCGGCNGACGGGUGAGUAACGCGUAGGCAACCUGCCCCAUACACAGGGAUAGCCUCGGGAAACCGGGAUUAAAACCUGAUAAUGCGAAAGGUCUUCAUGGACCUUUCGCCAAAGAUUUAUCGGUAUGGGAUGGGCCUGCGUCUGAUUAGCUAGUUGGUGGGGUAACGGCCUACCAAGGCGACGAUCAGUAGCCGACCUGAGAGGGUAAUCGGCCACAUUGGAACUGAGACACGGUCCAAACUCCUACGGGAGGCAGCAGUGGGGAAUAUUGCACAAUGGGCGAAAGCCUGAUGCAGCAACGCCGCGUGAGCGAUGAAGGCCUUUGGGUCGUAAAGCUCUGUCCUUGGGGAAGAAAAAAAUGACGGUACCCUUGGAGGAAGCCCCGGCUAACUACGUGCCAGCAGCCGCGGUAAUACGUAGGGGGCAAGCGU
rnacentral:rRNA from 1 species